UCUGAAAUCAAGGGGGAUUACCCGCUAAACUUAAGCAU
rnacentral:rRNA from 1 species